CUUACACAUGCAAGUCGAGCGGAGAUGAGGUGCUUGCACCUUAUCUUAGCGGCGGACGGGUGAGUAAUGCUUAGGAAUCUGCCUAUUAGUGGGGGACAACAUUCCGAAAGGAAUGCUAAUACCGCAUACGUCCUACGGGAGAAAGCAGGGGAUCUUCGGACCUUGCGCUAAUAGAUGAGCCUAAGUCGGAUUAGCUAGUUGGUUGGGUAAAGGCCUACCAAGGCGACGAUCUGUAGCGGGUCUGGGAGGAUGAUCCGCCACACUGGGACUGAGACACGGCCCAGACUCCUACGGGAGGCAGCAGUGGGGAAUAUUGGACAAUGGGGGGAACCCUGAUCCAGCCAUGCCGCGUGUGUGAAGAAGGCCUUAUGGUUGUAAAGCACUUUAAGCGAGGAGGAGGCUACUGAGACUAAUACUCUUGGAUAGUGGACGUUACUCGCAGAAUAAGCACCAGCUAACUCUGUGCCAGCAGCCGCGGUAAUACAGAGGGUGCGAGCGUUAAUCGGAUUUACUGGGCGUAAAGCGUGCGUAGGCGGCUUUUUAAGUCGGAUGUGAAAUCCCCGAGCUUAACUUGGGAAUUGCAUUCGAUACUGGGAAGCUAGAGUAUGGGAGAGGAUGGUAGAAUUCCAGGUGUAGCGGUGAAAUGCGUAGAGAUCUGGAGGAAUACCGAUGGCGAAAGCAGCCAUCUGGCCUAAUACUGACGCUGAGGUACGAAAGCAUGGGGAGCAAACAGGAUUAGAUACCCUGGUAGUCCAUGCCGUAAACGAUGUCUACUAGCCAUUGGGGCCUUUGAGGCUUUAGUGGCGCAGCUAACGCGAUAAGUAGACGCCUGGGGGGAGUACGGUCGCAAGACUAAAACUCAAUGAAUUUGACGGGGGCCCGCA
rnacentral:rRNA from 1 species